AACUGUAUAAUAAUGGUAAAACACGUGUUCAAAAAAUAAAUGCCUAGGCAUCCAUGUGCCCUGAAGCAGCUAGUUUUUAAGCACUAGAGACAAUUUCUUAAAGAAGUAGAACAUAUCUCAUGCAAAGUUUUCGAAAUCAAAUUUAAGGAAGACGACAUGAAUACAACGGAAUGUGUGUGCUAUGUUCUAGCAUCGCUGACAG